CAGAGUGCGGGUAGCCGACAAGUAGGUUAGCAAACUGGUGAAUCAAUAGGCUUUGGUCCUGCCUUCGCUUCCAGGAGUAAUUUCUAUUAUCCAUGGCGAAGAUAUCGUAUAAUAAGAAAGGGCUUACUUUUCAGAGUGAUCUUUCUCGAUUUCGGAACGGAAAGGCUUGGUUGAAGGCAAAAUUCGGUGUAAUUCGCCAUUUUUUAAGAAAAGAAAGGCAGGGUAGAAAAUCUUGCUUACUUAUUUCUCCAUCUAAGUAAGAGAAGGGGGGUUGAAGUUUAUAGCUAGUCGAAAAAGUUAUAAGAAGGUCUAAUCAUGCUACUUCAGUCUUAUGUUUAACACAUGCAAGUUGAUCAGUUCGCCCUUUAGAAAUAGGCUAAGAAAGUCAUCGGUUUGAAUCCGAGGAAGGGAUUUUUUUU
rnacentral:lncRNA from 1 species